AUAAAUAUAUAUAGGUAGACCAUUAAUAUUAAGCGCGCUGAGCAAUCGCUUACUUUGCCCAUAUAUAUGAGACCUCUCUAAACAAUUCCACAAUCUAGUUAUAACUAAAGCAAAGCCUCCCUCUUUGACACCCAAAAAAAAAAAAUAACUAAAGCAAAGCCUACUCUUACCAUUUAUGAUUUAUCCCUUCUUCGUUAAUAAAUGUGGCUAAGUCACUCAAUAAUCAUUGUUAUUUGCUGGUAUAACAUCGGUCAAAUCUUUUGCUAAACACAGUAAAUGUAAAGAAAGCAGAGUUCACUUAAUCAAAUCCCUAAUUUAUCUGCUAAAUACUCGAAGUUUGGCUAGAUUUAUUAUGUUGCUAAAAUUUUGCACUAGCAGUAAAAUGUUCAAAUAAUUAGAGAGUACGUGUUUCUAGGUUGAAAAAAAAUCAUUUGGCAAUCACUAUACAAAUUCUUACAUAGAAAUUCCUCCCCACAAAAAAAAAAAGAAGAAAAAAGUUUUCAUCACUAACCUUUUUCUCUUCUCAUCCCCAAAUUUCUUCGCUGUUGAAAAUCCUUAUAAUUUUCGUCCUUUAAAGUGUCUGUAAUCUCGUUAAUUUUGUGCAAGAGGAUUCAAUACUUAGGCUUGUAUCCUUUGUUGCUCUGUUGCUUGCGAACCCCUUUCCAUGAGUUGCAUCACCUGAAAUGGCACAACAAGAAGUAGAUACCAAAUUUGGUGAAUUGACAUCAGGUAAUAGUGAAGCAGGCCUGGCUGGUUUGGAGAAACAACUCCCUGUUCCCUUAAAGAAAACACCACUCAGAGAUCUUCAGAGUGAAAAUAAUAUUGUAGCACAAAAGGGCUCUAGUAUUCCUCUUGCUCUUAAGGAAGUAGCCAUCACAGAGGCUGCGAAGGUGUCAGGUAUUAAGCGACCUUCUCCUGACUCCCCAAUGAGUCCUCAUCAGCAAUCUUCUAGCAGUAGUGGUGCAAAUGGUCAUCUUGUGUAUGUUCGCCGGAAGUCUGAAGCUGAAACUGGUAAAAGCAGUACCAAUGAGGUUAUAAAUGACAAUGCUAUUCCUCCCCAACCAAGCCAGGUUGUCCAUCAAGAAGUUGAGCUUCGACCAAAGUCUCAGAUUAAUGAAUCCCAGAUGCAACCUCUACCUGCAUAUUCACCAUUUCCUGCCUCUGUUAUGAGUGUACCGUCUGGGAAACCUUCCAUUCCCUUCCCUCUUGGGAGUUCCAAUACCAAAAUGGCUUUUGAAGAACCUAGGAGUCAGGCAGUUCCAUCUACUAUCACUGUGGCUGUUGAAGAAAGAGUCAAAAAGCAGAAUUGGGAGGAGAGAUAUAUUGAACUGCAGAUGUACCUGAAAAAGUUAGAUCAAUCAAGUCUGGAGGACCAUCUUCAAUUGGAGAUCGUGUCAAAGCAAAUGAGAAGUGCUUCGGUCUCUUUCAGCUGUUGAACUUAGCAGACACGCUGUUGAACUGGAAAAGCAAGCAAUCCAACUUUCUCUGGAACAAGGGAAAGAGCUGCAGCGUGUGAAAGCCCUGAAUGUGCUCGGAAAAUCCAUGAAGACUUCCUGUGGACCAUCUGCUCAACAACAAACACCACAGAGCUGACUCUGGCAUGUAUCUGAAGUUUUGAUAUAUAUCUACCUCAACCUGCAAUUAGCUGCUGUCUAUGCGUUCUUUCUUUGUAUUAGUCUACCUGACACGCAAAUUUGUUGCUCUUGAUGUUGCUGUCUCAUUAGCACCUGUAAGUCUGUUACCAUCUAACAACUACUUGUAUCUAGUUUAAUCUCAUUUCUGUACUUCUCAGCUUUAGGUAAUGUAAAAGAGCUCGGAUAAUUGAUUGACCCAUACUAUCUAAUGCAAUGACCACUCCUUCCCUUGUUUC